UGAAAAGGACCCGGUGUAACAAUAAAGCCGAAUUCUAUUGACACCCAGUUUCUCAUCGCAACGCAUAAAAUUUUAUUUUAUUUAUCAUCUUUUUUAAUUUAUUUAACAUUUUCUUAUAAUAAUUUGUACUUGCAUAGCAGCUGAGUCCUCUAUUAAAAACAUUUAUCCUUUUUUCCAUACUUCCAUCUAUCUAUAAACCAAAAAAGACUAAAUUAUAAAUUUAUAUAUACCCAACGAUCUUCUUGAUUUUAGCAAAGCCAAUAUCCAUCCACUUCAAUGGCCUAUGCACCAGACUUUAUUCUAAAGGGUUACCUCGGGUCCGGGCAUUUGUUUGGCAGAUGGAACAUAUGCACUGGAUGUACAAAAUUAAAUGGCACACUCUCAAUAUAUGUCGUCUUUGGAAGAUUUUCUUAGAUUUGCCAAAGAUAAUCGAGUGAAUAAGGUCGAAAGUUAUAUUAGGUGUCCUUGUGUAGAUUGCAACAAGGACACCUAACAAAGUUAUAUGGAAAGUAGGAUCGGAGGAGAAAGUUUUUGCCUGAUCGAUUGUUUGGGAGUGUGUUCGUAGUCGGGAAGCAAAGGUACCAUGGGUGGAUGUUAUUUGGUUUUCUCAUUGUAUUCCUCGACAUGCUUUUCACAUGUGGCUCGUAGUGCAAGGUAAACUUCUUACUCAAGACAGAAUUCUUACAUGGAGUCCGUCGAGAUGUAAGGAUAUGAACAUGAUGUGUUGUCCUCUAUGCAAGGCUGAUUUUGAUUCCCGUCACCAUCAGUUCUUUGAGUGUAUGUAUACAUCUCAUAUCUGGUCUUGUAUUAGAGAUAUUGCUGGUAUGCAGGUUAUCCCACCUCAUUUGGAGGCGAUUUUGGAUUGGCUCAUUCCACGUGCUCAUUCAAGAUCAGUCUCAAAUGUAGUAGGGCUACAUACUACAUAUGGCAAAAACGUAACAGAAGACUUUUUCAGAACCAUUCGCGCCCUCCUGAUGUAGUUCACGAUAUCAUUAUUUCAACGAUCUGAUCAAGACUUAUGCGGUUUAAAUUCAAGAGAUCUGCUGAAGUGGUGGCUAAAUUGGCGUUAUGGAAUAUCCUUGGAGAAAGCUUGUUUCAAGAUGGCUAGUUAUUCUUGAGUAUUAAAUUACUUUGUCUACUGUUUUCUAUUUUACGUUGAUAGUUGGCUAGAUUACUAGUUAUUGAGGUAAUAUUGUAUUACAUAUAUAGGACAUAUCCUAUAUAUGAACUAGUGUAGUAUCUCUGCUACAUUACUUUUACUUUAAUUGUUGGGUAUUUAUAAAAGUCACCGGGGAAUUACCUUCC